UACGGGGGGUGCAAGCGUUGCUCGGAAUCACUGGGCGUAAAGCGUCCGCAGGCGGACGCGCAGGUCGGGUGUGAAAUCCCGGGGCUCAACCCCGGAACUGCAUUCGAAACCGCGUGUCUUGAGUAUGGGAGAGGGUAGCGGAAUUCCUGGUGUAGAGGUGAAAUUCGUAGAUAUCAGGAGGAACACCGGUGGCGAAAGCGGCUACCUGGCCCAAUACUGACGCUCAUGGACGAAAGCGUGGGGAGCAAACAGG
rnacentral:rRNA from 1 species